AUUGGCCUACGGGAGGCAGCAGUGAGGAAUAUUGGUCAAUGGGCUUACGCCUGAACCAGCCAAGUCGCGUGAGGGAAGACUGUCCUAUGGGUUGUAAACCUCUUUUGUCAGGGAGCAACGCCGGCUACGUGUAGCCGGACUGAGAGUACCUGAAGAAAAAGCAUCGGCUAACUCCGUGCCAGCAGCCGCGGUAAUACGGAGGAUGCGAGCGUUAUCCGGAUUUAUUGGGUUUAAAGGGGGCGUAGGCGGAAUGCAAAGUCAGCGGUAAAAUCGCGGG
rnacentral:rRNA from 1 species